AUUGAACGCUGGCGGCAGGCCUAACACAUGCAAGUCGAACGAGUGGCGGACGGGUGAGUAAUGUCUGGGAAACUGCCUGAUGGAGGGGGAUAACUACUGGAAACGGUAGCUAAUACCGCAUACCAUCGGAUGUGCCCAGAUGGGAUUGGCUAGUAGGUGGGGUAAAGGCUCACCUAGGCGACGUUCCCUAGCUGGUCUGAGAGGAUGACCAGCCAAACUGGAACUGGGACACGGUCCAGACUCCUACGGAAGGAAGAAGUGGGGAAUAUUGCACAAUGGGCGCAAGCCUGAUGCAGCCAUGCCGCGUGUAUGAGGAAGGCCUUCGGGUUGUAAAGUACUUUCAGAGGGGAGGCGUUACCCGCAGAAGAAGCACCGGCUAACUCCGUGCCAGCAGCCGCGGUAAUAC
rnacentral:rRNA from 1 species